rnacentral:rRNA from 1 species
UACGUAGGGCGCAAGCGUUGUCCGGAAUUAUUGGGCGUAAAGAGCGUGUAGGCGGUCCGGUAAGUCCGCUGUGAAAGUCGGGGGCUCAACCCUCGAAUGCCGGUGGAUACUGUCGGGCUAGAGUGCGGAAGAGGCGAGUGGAAUUCCUGGUGUAGCGGUGAAAUGCGCAGAUAUCAGGAGGAACACCAAUUGCGAAGGCAGCUCGCUGGGACGUUACUGACGCUGAGACGCGAAAGCGUGGGGAGCAAACAGG